CUGGCGGCGUGCUUAACACAUGCAAGUCGAACGAAGCAUUUAAGACAGAUUACUUCGGUUUGAAGUCUUUAUGACUGAGUGGCGGAUGGGCGAGUAACGCGUGGGUAACCUGCCUCAUACAGGGGGAUAGCAGCUGGAAACGGCUGGUAAUACCGCAUAAGCGCACGGUAUCACAUGAUACAGUGUGAAAAACUCCGGUGGUAUGAGAUGGACCCGCGUCUGAUUAGCUAGUUGGUGAGGUAACGGCCCACCAAGGCGACGAUCAGUAGCCGACCUGAGAGGGUGACCGGCCACAUUGGGACUGAGACACGGCCCAGACUCCUACGGGAGGCAGCAGUGGGGAAUAUUGCACAAUGGAGGAAACUCUGAUGCAGCGACGCCGCGUGAGUGAAGAAGUAGUUCGCUAUGUAAAGCUCUAUCAGCAGGGAAGAUAGUGACGGUACCUGACUAAGAAGCUCCGGCUAAAUACGUG
rnacentral:rRNA from 1 species